UUGAAAGGGAAACGAUUGAAGUCAGUCGUACCGACGAGAAAUCAGCUUAUCGUGUGUGAACUUGUGGGCGUGCGUGAGUUUCGGCCUCGCUGUUUGCAUGUUUGUGCGUUUUGGGUGUACUUUUUCGUAUGGUAGGCCAACAUCAGUUUCGAUUACUAUAAAAUGACCGGCGGAAUGUAGCUUCGAUUUUGGUUGAAGUGUUAUAGCCCCUGGUAGAUGUGGUGAUUGGGACUGAGGAUUGCAACGAAUAUCCUUUGGGCUAUCCGUCUGAUCUCUGAAAGUUGCUCAGGUGCCGAAAGCGUGCUUACGGUCAUCUAAGUUGACGGUCAAUAGGUUAGAACGUGAUUACAUUC
rnacentral:rRNA from 1 species